GACGAACGCUGGCGGCGUGCUUAACACAUGCAAGUCGAGCGGUAAGGCCCUUUCGGGGGUACGACGAGCGGCGAACGGGUGAGUAACACGUGGGUGACCUGCCCUCAGCUCUGGGAUAAGCCUGGGAAACCGGGUCUAAUACUGGAUAUGACUCCAUGACGCAUGUUGGUGGGGUGGAAAGCCUUGUGCGGCUGAGGAUGGGCCCGCGGCCUAUCAGCUUGUUGGUGGGGGUGAGGCCUACCAAGGCGACGACGGGUAGCCGGCCUGAGAGGGCGACCGGCCACACUGGGACUGAGACACGGCCCAGACUCCUACGGGAGGCAGCAGUGGGGAAUCUUGCGCAAUGGGCGAAAGCCUGACGCAGCGACGCCGCGUGAGGGAUGACGGCC
rnacentral:rRNA from 1 species